AACGAACGCUGGCGGCAUGCCUAACACAUGCAAGUCGAACGAGACCUCCCCGUCUAGUUGCGCAGGGGUGCGUACGGCGGGGUAACCUGCCCUUAGGCUCGCAAUAACUCCCCGAAAGGGGUGCUAAUACCGGGUCAUGUCUUCGGACCAAAGAUUUAUCGCCUUUGGAUGGGCCCGCGUUGGGUUAGUUAGUUGGUAGGGGAAAAGCAUACCAAGGCGUGGAUCCUUAGCUGGUCGGCGAGGAGGAUCAGCCACACUGGGACGGAGACACGGCCCAGACUCGUACGGGAGGCAGCAGAGGGUAAUAUAGGGGGAGGGGCGCAAGCCUGAUCCAGCAAUGCCGGGUGAGUGAGGAAGGCGUUAGGGUUGUAAAGCUCUUUGAGCCGAGAUGAUAGUGACGGUACCGGGAGAAGAAGCUCCGGCUAACUACGUG
rnacentral:rRNA from 1 species